GGCGUGUGAGAUAAAGUUUGACGGUAAAUGCUACUGGGUAGAGACUCACUUGAUUGUGGACUGUAUUAUCGACAUAGCCGAUAUUUUGUUAGAAAUGCUGUUAGAAUAUGUUGUUAAGAAUGCUGAAAUGAUAUAGCCUAUCAGUUGCUUAUUUCAGGAUGAAAACGAACACAUUUCAGGAAAAGAUCACAGUAGGGAAUACUCUCAUCUUCCUAGUAAAUUUCGACAGAAUCAGCUACGAAUUUCAGCUGCAAUCAAGGAAAAUGAUUCAAAUCGAUCAUUUUUGAUUGUUCUCGUCAUACUUUUGAAUCUGGGAUUCGUGGUUAUUUUUAGUCAAUUUUUCUUAUGACGGAACAUAAGGUGAAGAGUUAAAUUUGAUAGCAGAAUCCAGUAUACAAGAAAACGCUGCGUGUGUGUCUAUACUCAAUUCAAUGAUAUCUGAAUUGGAAAAUGUGUCAGAAGAUAUGUAUCCUGUGUGAAAAACGGGCCGCAUAAUUGCAUCGGUGAAAAUAUUGAGAGAAUGGAGUUUCUCUACACUUGAAAGACAAUUCUUUAUAAUUUUAUUUAAUAAAAUAACAGCAACGAAGAUAUGAGAAUCCGUCCUUAUACUCACUCCAGAAUUAACCUUCUAAAACGGAAAACGGGUAUUCGUUUAAAAUAUGCCUAAUUUGCAUGUGUUCACU